rnacentral:rRNA from 1 species
GAUGAACGCUGGCGGCGUGCUUAAUACAUGCAAGUCGAACGAAGCACCUUGGACAGAAUCCUUCGGGAGGAAGACCAUUGUGACUGAGUGGCGGACGGGUGAGUAACGCGUGGGUAACCUGCCUUGUACAGGGGGAUAACAGUUGGAAACGACUGCUAAUACCGCAUAAGCGCACAGUACCGCAUGGUACGGUGUGAAAAACUCCGGUGGUACAAGAUGGACCCGCGUCUGAUUAGCUGGUUGGUGAGGUAACGGCCCACCAAGGCGACGAUCAGUAGCCGACUUGAGAGAGUGAUCGGCCACAUUGGGACUGAGACACGGCCCAAACUCCUACGGGAGGCAGCAGUAGGGAAUAUUGCACAAUGGGGGAAACCCUGAUGCAGCGACGCCGCGCGAAGGAAGAAGUAUUUCGGUAUGUAAACUUCUAUCAGCAGGGAAGAAAAUGACGGUACUUGACUAAGAAGC